rnacentral:misc_RNA from 1 species
AUGUGUAUAAGAGACAGGUGAGUCAUCGAAUCUUUGAACGCACCUUGCGCCCUUUGGUAUUCCGAAGGGCAUGCCUGUUUGAGUGUCAUGUAGACUCAACCCCUCGGGUUUCUUACCCGAGGUGCGUUGGAUUUGGGCCCUGCCUACCCGGGCUGGCCUUAAAUGAGUUAGCGGUGACCGCACAGACGUUGUAAGCACUCGUCGACCGUCGGGCCCGCUCCCAACCCCAAUCUAUUUUGCACUCUGACCUCAAAUCAGGUAGGGCUACCCGCUGAACUUAAGCAUAUCAAUAAGCGGAGG